AUUGAACGCUGGCGGCAGGCCUAACACAUGCAAGUCGAGCGAGCGGCGGACGGGUGAGUAAUAUCUGGGAAACUGCCUGAUGGAGGGGGAUAACUACUGGAAACGGUAGCUAAUACCGCAUACCAUCAGAUGUGCCCCUAUGGGGGUAGCGAAUGGGGGGGGUAAUAGCUCACCUAGGCGACGAGCCCUAGCUGGUCUGAGAGGAUGACCAUCCACACUGGAACUGAGACACGGUCCAGACUCCUACGGUAGGCAGCAGUGGGGAAGAUUGCACAAUGGGCGCAAGCCUGAUGCAGCCAUGCCGCGUGUGUGAAGAAGGCCUUCGGGUUGUAAAGCACUUUCAGCGAGGAGGCGUUACUCGCAGAAGAAGCACCGGCUAACUCCGUGCCAGCAGCCGCGGUAAUAC
rnacentral:rRNA from 1 species